rnacentral:rRNA from 1 species
CCCAAGAUUAGAUCUCGCUGGACCCUUGAGGUCCCUGAAGGUCCGUUAAAGACUAUGACGUUGAUAGGCUGGGUGUGGAAGCGCAGUAAUGUGUGAAGCUAACCAGUACUAAUUGACCGUGAGGCUUGACCAUAUAACCCCAAACGUUUUGGG